UGUAUUCAAUUCAUAUUUUAUUCGAUUAAUUCCAAAAAUCUGAAAUUCUUACCGACAGGAGAAAGCACCACUCUCUCGCAGGAACUCUGCGCCUGAAACUCCACCCCCACCCCCAUUUUCCCUCACAGUGGCCUCCCGAAGAGCAACAGCCAGAUCGCCGCCGCAGCGGCCGCUGCAGCCGCCGCCUUCGCUGCGAGCCGCAGUGCUCCCUUCCACGUCCGAUUGGCCGGCCUUGCGCUGCCUUCACCGAAUAAUCCCAUCCUGAGGAGCCCUAACGCGCCGUCGCCGUCGCCGUCGCCGCCGCCGUAGAUCUGAGCGGCUCCCCCCUGAUCGACAAGGGCGGCGAGGAAAUCCAGUAGCUGCAUUGCGAGGAUUUUCCGGAUCGAGGCGGCCAGCAGGAAGAUCGACGCCCAUCGCCGCACGGUGGCCCUGUCCAGGCCCCCGCCAUUCCUCCCCCUCUUCCGCCUGCUGGCGCUCCAUCGCAGGAAAGCGACCGCCGCCGUCCCCCGCGCGGUGCUCCGGCGAGGUUCUGGCUUGCCGCGGAGGGGAGAAAGGGGAAGGAACUGGAUGUGGAACCGUCCUUCGAGGAACUCCCCGCGGUGGCGGCGGAAGAGAGGGCACUUCGGCGGCGCUGCGAGUUGGGAGAAGCAGCGGAAGGUGCCCGGUGGCCGGUGGCGCCAGAGGGGAGGAGAGACGGCGGCGCCCAUCGCGGCGGUGAGUCCCUGUGAUUCUGGCCAGAGCGCGCCAUUCGUUCCUAAAUCCCUUCCCAAGGUCAUGAUCUCUACGGAUUUUGAAUCGGAUGGGUGUGCGCGUCAGUUGGCGUCCGACCAAGCAGAAAAACCAUUUUUUCCAAAAGUAACAAUAAACUAAUUAUUUAUUUAAUUAAUAUUUUUAUGCGGACGCAUAAAUUCCCUUCUAUAUAUGCAAAUUAAUUUGAGACCCGUUGAUAAUAAAUAAACAAUGCAUAUUUAAAAAAAAUAACAAAAGAACGCUUUCCAACACUCUUUGGGCCAUAGCAACUUGUAAUUUUUCCAUAUUUAAUUAUACGAUUAAAUUACAGAUUGUCUUGAGUUUAAUCCGUAUAUUUGGUGUUGGCGUUGAAAAAUAUAAGUCAAACUUUGCGGUUGCUCGCUAAUUCUUGAUUUAAUCUAUUUUUCAGGUUUCCCAUUAAAAAGUAUCCGGAUUUUUCCAGAAUUACCAAGUAAAAUUGUUUUGAAUAAUUUCUGUUUAUUUUUCUGAAAAAAAACGUCUGAUUGGUCGCGACGUAUGAAACCAGACAGAGCUAAAGAACAGAAGAUUUUUUUUCCAAAAAAAAAGAGAAAGAUUUACAGAGAUGAAAUUAACGUAUUAUUGUAGUUCCUCUCCCCCGGUUUUCUUUGCAACUGUUGGGAGGGCGGAUAAAUUAAAUCCAAUAAAAUCAAAUGGCAUAUUCCGUGUGGAACAAAUACCUGUAUAUUGUUUCUCGAUGUCCCUCCCAUGAAAUCAGGGGACUGUUCUUGGCUCGCUCAUCUUGCCGGGUUCGGUCAAACUAUCGGGAAGACUCUGCCACCAAUUUAGGAAAAUAUCAGUAUCAUUCUCUGAUCCAAACUCACCGGUGUAUGAAAAUAUGUACGUACGCACGUAUUUGACCGUCGUCUUCAACCUCCCGCAGGUCCUGGGGAGUGGUGGUUCUUGAGAUCCCAUCUGAGGAAGACGGCGUGGAGGAGCUCGUUCCAGGUGUCGGGGACUCCGGGGAGGCACCAGUGGCU
rnacentral:lncRNA from 1 species